AACGAACGCUGGCGGCAUGCCUAACACAUGCAAGUCGAACGAAGUCUUCGGACUUAGUGGCGCACGGGUGCGUAACGCGUGGGAAUCUGCCCUUGGGUACGGAAUAACUCAGAGAAAUUUGUGCUAAUACCGUAUAAUGUCGUAAGACCAAAGAUUUAUCGCCCAAGGAUGAGCCCGCGUAAGAUUAGCUAGUUGGUGAGGUAAAAGCUCACCAAGGCGACGAUCUUUAGCUGGUCUGAGAGGAUGAUCAGCCACACUGGGACUGAGACACGGCCCAGACUCCUACGGGAGGCAGCAGUGGGGAAUAUUGGACAAUGGCGAAAGCCUGAUCCAGCAAUGCCGCGUGAGUGAUGAAGGCCUUAGGGUUGUAAAGCUCUUUUACCCGGGAUGAUAAUGACAGUACCGGGAGAAUAAGCUCCGGCUAACUCCGUGCCAGCCGCCGCGGUAAUAC
rnacentral:rRNA from 1 species